UACGGAGGAUGCAAGCGUUAUCCGGAUUUAUUGGGUUUAAAGGGUGCGCAGGUUGUUUGAUAAGUCAGUGGUGAAAGUCUGUCGCUUAACGGUAGGAUUGCCAUUGAUACUGUUGGACUUGAAUAUGGAUGAGGUAGGCGGAAUGUGUAGUGUAGCGGUGAAAUGCAUAGAUAUUACACAGAACACCGAUUGCGAAGGCAGCUUACUAAUCCAUCAUUGACGCUGAGGCACGAAAGCGUGGGGAUCA
rnacentral:rRNA from 1 species